UACGGGGGGGGCGAGCGUUGUCCGGAAUCACUGGGCGUAAAGGGCGCGUAGGCGGCCUGAUAAGUCGGGGGUGAAAGCCCGAGGCUCAACCUCGGAACUGCCUUCGAUACUGCGGGUCUCGAGUCCGGGAGAGGUGAGUGGAAUUCCUAGUGUAGAGGUGAAAUUCGUAGAUAUUAGGAAGAACACCAGUGGCGAAGGCGGCUCACUGGCCCGGUACUGACGCUGAGACGCGAAAGCGUGGGGAGCGAACAGG
rnacentral:rRNA from 1 species